rnacentral:lncRNA from 1 species
UGAUUAAUAGAUUAGACGUGGUGUUUAGUCUUGCAAUUACCUGGAGUUGCACCCAAUCCUGCAGAUUGUUGUGGUAGCCCUAGGGUAGUGACAGCCCUAAUGGUCGACGUAUUCCACCUCGUUCGGAUCGGUGUUUGUAGGACCGUAGUCAGAGCUUCCUAGCCCCCUUCUCAUCUCUUUAUGUGGUUAGUGUUAUGAUGUCCCGAAAUAAAUAAUCUUUGAAGUAAUUCUUGAUUCUUAGAUCAAUUAGAGAACUCUCAGGAAACACCCUCUCUUCCCACCAAAAAUAAUUAUAUAGUUAUCCUUG